rnacentral:rRNA from 1 species
AUUGAACGCUGGCGGAAUGCUUUACACAUGCAAGUCGAACGGCAGCACGGGGCAACCUGGUGGCGAGUGGCGAACGGUGAGUAAUAUAUCGGAACGUGCCCAAUCGUGGGGGAUAACGUAGCGAAAGUUACGCUAAUACCGCAUACGAUCUACGGAUGAAAGCGGGGGAUCGCAAGACCUCGCGCGAAUGGAGCGGCCGAUAUCAGAUUAGGUAGUUGGUGGGGUAAAGGCUCACCAAGCCAACGAUCUGUAGCUGGUCUGAGAGGACGACCAGCCACACUGGAACUGAGACACGGUCCAGACUCCUACGGGAGGCAGCAGUGGGGAAUUUUGGACAAUGGGCGCAAGCCUGAUCCAGCCAUUCCGCGUGCAGGAUGAAGGCCUU